GCAAACAAGUCCAGCUCCAAACUCACCUGCACCUACACAGGGAAUGAGCUUCAGUUAAUGUAACACUGCGGCAGGCCUGACUGUGUUGGACAUUAGGUACAUAUAGGGAGGUUAAAGGAGAGCAGAAUGACCAGUCAUGGAAAACUCCGUUCAGAGACUGGACUUGUUUCUCGUUUUCUUGCAGACUGAGGAAUCCUGCAAGAGGAUAAGUGUCAUGGAGGAACACAUGGAUCAGCCAUCUUUGCAAAACAGGCUCUGUGGUAAGUCAACUUGUCCACAGAAACAAUGAGAAGGGAUACGGUGUCAAAAAUAAAUCAUCAUUUGAGCUUAUUAAUAUUUAAGGUAGUCAUUUUUUUUUCAGUAGGAAAUUCAUGACGAUUAGAAACGAUUCAUAAACAACCAAAUUAUUGCUUUUUAAAAUUUGCAUUUUAUUUAAUUCAAACAAAAGGGUCAGAUCAGAAGUGACUAAACUUAAUGUCUUCGCAUAACACUAAAUCUUUGUAAAAGAUUUAAAGAGACAAUUAUUAAGUGUCAAUUAGUAGUUUAAUAAAAGAGUUCAAAAAGAGACAUUUCCAACUAUUUGUUUCCAAUCCAUGGACAUAAAUGGAUAAUUUUUUUAAAAUAAAUUACAAAUUUUGCUCAGCGAGAAUGCAUGAAACUGAUCAGAAAUUCACCAAAACUUAUGGUUAUUUUUGUAGCAUUGAGGUACAAUUAUAUCAUGAAUAUUCUUUAUAUUAAUUAGUUAAA